GACGAACGCUGGCGGCGUGCUUAACACAUGCAAGUCGAACGGUAAGGCCCUUCGGGGUACACGAGUGGCGAACGGGUGAGUAACACGUGGGUGAUCUGCCCUGCACUUCGGGAUAAGCCUGGGAAACUGGGUCUAAUACCGGAUAGGACCCUGGGAUGCAUGUCCUGGGGUGGAAAGCUUUUGCGGUGUGGGAUGGGCCCGCGGCCUAUCAGCUUGUUGGUGGGGUAAUGGCCUACCAAGGCGACGACGGGUAGCCGGCCUGAGAGGGUGACCGGCCACAAUGGGACUGAGAUACGGCCCAGACUCCUACGGGAGGCAGCAGUGGGGAAUAUUGCACAAUGGGCGCAAGCCUGAUGCAGCGACGCCGCGUGAGGGAUGACGGCCUUCGGGUUGUAAACCUCUUUCAGUAGGGACGAAGCGCAAGUGACGGUACCUACAGAAGAAGGACCGGCCAACUACGUGCCAGCAGCCGCGGUAA
rnacentral:rRNA from 1 species